AGGGAACGCGGGCGGUAGGCCUAACACAUGCAAGUCGAACGGCAGCACAGUAAGAGCUUGCUCUUACGGGUGGCGAGUGGCGGACGGGAGGAAUACAUCGGAAUCUACUUUUUCGUGGGGGAUAACGUAGGGAAACUUACGCUAAUACCGCAUACGACCUACGGGUGAAAGCAGGGGAUCUUCGGACCUUGCGCGAUUGAAUGAGCCGAUGUCGGAUUAGCUAGUUGGCGGGGUAAAGGCCCACCAAGGCGACGAUCCGUAGCUGGUCUGAGAGGAUGAUCAGCCACACUGGAACUGAGACACGGUCCAGACUCCUACGGGAGGCAGCAGUGGGGAAUAUUGGACAAUGGGCGCAAGCCUGAUCCAGCCAUACCGCGUGGGUGAAGAAGGCCUUCGGGUUGUAAAGCCCUUUUGUUGGGAAAGAAAAGCAGCAGGUUAAUACCCCGCUGUUCUGACGGUACCCAAAGAAUAAGCACCGGCUAACUUCGUG
rnacentral:rRNA from 1 species